UAGGCUGAACGCUCGAUCCGAUCGGGUAGUAGGUAAGCGAUGGGGUGACGCAGGAAGGUAGUCCAGCCCAGGCGAUGGUUGUCCUGGGGUAAGCAUGUAGGGCGUGUCGUAGGUAAAUCCGCGGCAUUUAAGCCUGAGAUGUGAUGCCGAGCCGAUUGUGGUGAAGUGGAUGAUCCUAUGCUGCCGAGAAAAGCCUCUAGUGAGUGUUGUGGCGGCCCGUACCCUAAACCGACUCAGGUGGUCAGGUAGAGAAUACCAAGGCGAUCGGGUGAACUGUGGUUAAGGAACUCGGCAAAUUGCCCCCGUAACUUCGGGAGAAGGGGGACCUCUGUUGGUGAUGGGCUUUACGCCUGGAGCUGGUGGGGGUCGCAGUGGCCAGGGGGAAGCGACUGUUUACUAAAAACACAGGUCCGUGCGAAGUCGUAAGACGAUGUAUACGGACUGACGCCUGCCCGGUGCCGGAACGUUAAGGGGACCGCUUAGCUGACGUGAGUUGGCGAAGGUGAGAACUUAAGCGCCGGUAAACGGCGGUGGUAACUAUAACCAUCCUAAGGUAGCGAAAUUCCUUGUCGGGUAAGUUCCGACCUGCACGAAUGGCGUAACGACUUCCCCGCUGUCUCAACCGCAGACCCGGCGAAAUUGCACUACGAGUAAAGAUGCUCGUUUCGCGCAGCAGGACGGAAAGACCCCGGGACCUUCACUACAGCUUGACAUUGGCGUUUGGAACGUCUUGUGUAGGAUAGGUGGGAGACUGGGAAGCUGUCACGCUAGUGAUGGUGGAGUCAUUGGUGAAAUACCACUCUGGUCGUUUUGAACGUCUAACUCUGGUCCGUGAUCCGGAUCGGGGACAGUGUCUGGUGGGUAGUUUAACUGGGGCGGUUGCCUCCUAAAGAGUAACGGAGGCGCCCAAAGGUUCCCUCAGCCUGGUUGGCAAUCAGGUGUUGAGUGUAAGUGCACAAGGGAGCUUGACUGUGAGACUGACAGGUCGAGCAGGAGCGAAAGCUGGGACUAGUGAUCCGGCAUCGGCGUGUGGAAGCGGUGUCGCUCAACGGCUAAAAGGUACCCCGGGGAUAACAGGCUGAUCUUCCCCAAGAGUCCAUAUCGACGGGAUGGUUUGGCACCUCGAUGUCGGCUCGUCGCAUCCUGGGGCUGGAGUAGGUCCCAAGGGUUGGGCUGUUCGCCCAUUAAAGCGGUACGCGAGCUGGGUUUAGAACGUCGCGAGACAGUUCGGUCCCUAUCCGCUGCGCGCGCAGGAGACUUGAAGGGGGCUGUCCCUAGUACGAGAGGACCGGGACGGACGAACCUCUGGUGUGCCAGUUGUACCGCCAGGUGCACGGCUGGUUGGCUACGUUCGGAAGGGAUAACCGCUGAAAGCAUCUAAGCGGGAAGCUCGCCUUGAGAUGAGGUCUCCCACCACGAGAGUGGGUAAGGCUCCCGGUAGACGACCGGGUUGAUAGGCCGGAGGUGGAAGCACGGUAACGUGUGGAGCUGACCGGUACUAAUAGGCCGAGGACUUGACCG
rnacentral:rRNA from 1 species